UGAUGGGGAGUUACCAAGAGGUGAGUGAAGUGGGUUUAGAGGAAAACUGUGCUUGGAGUUGUUGGUAGUGGAUCCAUAGGGCUUGGAAUCUUGAGGGAUACUGGCGAGUCUAAGAGAUUACUUAUGGUGGGAUUAAAAUUUUGUAGUGAGUUGCAGCCAUUUAGGCCUUAUAUAGUGGUUGGGAGAAUGCUAGCAAACUAGGUGACCAUCAGUAGUCAGUUGCAAUGUGCAGGUUCUAAGCACCAGGCCCAUGGCUACAUGCAUGUUCGGUAGCAGAGUUGACAAGUCAGGCCCAUACAACCUGUACGAUGCCAGGAUUGACACUUGUGCAAGGGACAAAAAUUGCUUCUCCUUUCCUCUCAAUCUGAUUGAAGCCCUCCAAAACUAGCCACUGAGCCAAGAACCAUCCAAAUAGCUUGGUGACAGGAGGCUAGGCUCAUCAUCAGAGCAUGCUGGUUUCAUAACAAACCCCCUGAAUCCCUUUCAGUUUGGCAGGUGUUAAAGCAUUGAGUAUAUGGUGCCUUGUGUAUCUUCAGGGUUCUGUGGGGAGUAGGGGUGGGUUGGGUUAGAUACUCCUCAACCACCAAACGGUGGGCAGCCUACAUGUCAUAAUUAAACUCUGCUAUCACAAUAUUCAUAUAUGUUUGAACAUGCAUGCACAGAACUAUGUGCAUUUUAUGUUCCUUAUUUAAGAUUUGGACCUCGUAAAAUCAAUCUCU
rnacentral:lncRNA from 1 species